GGCAGAUGAGCCAGGUUCACAACCGCAGCCAACUUCAAGCCGUUCUCUGCAGACCCAAGAGGCUCCUGCAGGUCCUCAGGUCUCAGUUGGCUUUUGUGCAGCAUCUAUUUCAACGUGAGCCAGAGGUUUUCAAGUGUCAAGAGGAUGAGCGCUUACAGCUGGAGGUCAGGGCUAAAGCUUUGCAGCAACAGGCUCUGGAGCAGGAAGUGGUUUCUUACAGGAGGCUGCAGGAAUGGACCAUUUGGGAGGAUAAUUGCGGUCAGCUGGGCAGGGUGCUGGAUGAGUCUGAAGCCCUCAUCAGCAGCGGGGAACCAGAGGGAGACGACGAGGAGUCGU